CGGCGAGUGAAGCGGCAAGAGCUCAAAUUUGAAAGCUGGCUCCUUCGGGGUCCGCAUUGUAAUUUGCAGAGGAUGCUUCGGGUGCAGCCCCCGUCUAAGUGCCCUGGAACGGGCCGUCAUAGAGGGUGAGAAUCCCGUAUGGGGCGGGGUGUCUGCGUCCGUGUGAAGCUCCUUCGACGAGUCGAGUUGUUUGGGAAUGCAGCUCUAAAUGGGUGGUAAAUUUCAUCUAAAGCUAAAUACUGGCCGGAGACCGAUAGCGCACAAGUAGAGUGAUCGAAAGAUGAAAAGCACUUUGAAAAGAGAGUUAAACAGCACGUGAAAUUGUUGAAAGGGAAGCGCUUGCAACCAGACUCGCUCGCGGGGUUCAGCCGGGCUUCGGCCCGGUGUACUUCCCCGCGGGCGGGCCAGCGUCGGUUUGGGCGGCCGGUCAAAGGCCUCCGGAAUGUAGCGCCCUUCGGGGCGCCUUAUAGCCGGGGGUGCAAUGCGGCCAGCCUGGACCGAGGAACGCGCUUCGGCACGGACGCUGGCAUAAUGGUUGUAAACGACCCGUCUUGAAACACGGACCAAGGAGUCUAACAUCUACGCGAGUGUUCGGGUGUCAAACCCGUACGCGCAGUGAAAGCGAACGGAGGUGGGAGCCCCCUCGCGGGGCGCACCAUCGACCGAUCCUGAUGUCUUCGGAUGGAUUUGAGUACGAGCGUAGCUGUGGGGACCCGAAAGAUGGUGAACUAUGCCUGAAUAGGGCGAAGCCAGAGGAAACUCUGGUGGAGGCUCGCAGCGGUUCUGACGUGCAAAUCGAUCGUCAAAUUUGGGUAUAGGGGCGAAAGACUAAUCGAACCAUCUGGUAGCUGGUUCCUGC
rnacentral:rRNA from 1 species